CAUUGCUGCAAUUUAUAAUUCUAACUUGUACUUUUGCAGGGAUACGCUUACAUACUCACUCAUCCAGGAAUACCUACCGUAUUUUAUGAUCAUUUCUAUGACUGGGGAAAAUCCAUUCAUGAUCAAAUUGUGAGACUGAUGGAUGUGCGGAGACAUCAGGAUAUCCACAGCCGCUCCACUAUGAGAAUACUGGAAUCCCACUCCAAUCUGUAUGCUGCAAUCAUUGGAGAGAGAGUGUGCAUUAAGAUUGGCGAUAGGUCCUGGUGCCCAACAGACGGGGAAUGGAAACUUGCAACUUCUGGCACCAGAUAUGCUGUUUGGUGCAGGUAGAGUUCAUUGUAACUCCAUUUCUUUUUUAAGCUUAUUUAGAUGAUUAAUAUUAUACACAACACAAACCGUAGUCAAAGUUGAGAAUUUUUGGUAUUG